rnacentral:rRNA from 1 species
UGGGGAAUUUUGGACAAUGGGCGAAAGCCUGAUCCAGCAAUGCCGCGUGUGUGAAGAAGGCCUUCGGGUUGUAAAGCACUUUUGUCCGGAAAGAAAUCCUUGGCUCUAAUACAGUCGGGGGAUGACGGUACCGGAAGAAUAAGCACCGGCUAACUACGUGCCAGCAGCCGCGGUAAUACGUAGGGUGCAAGCGUUAAUCGGAAUUACUGGGCGUAAAGCGUGCGCAGGCGGUUUGCUAAGACCAAUGUGAAAUCCCCGGGCUCAACCUGGGAACUGCAUUGGUGACUGGCAGGCUAGAGUAUGGCAGAGGGGGGUAGAAUUCCACGUGUAGCAGUGAAAUGCGUAGAGAUGUGGAGGAAUACCGAUGGCGAAGGCAGCCCCCUGGGCAAUACUGACGCUCAUGCACGAAAAGCGUGGGGAGCAAAACAGGAUUAGAUACCCUGGUAGUCCACGCCCUAAAACGAUGUCAACUAGUUGUUGGGGAUUCAUUUCCUUAGUAACGUAGCUAACGCGUGAAGUUGACCGCCUGGGGAGUACGGUCGCAAGAUUAAAACUUAAAUGAAUUGACGGGGUCAUAGCUGUUUCCU